UGAUUGUUUGAUAGCCCACGUGACACCCUGAUGAUCGAGCUCCUCUGGAGUCCGGCGUUAGGCGUGACGCGUGUGGCGAAUCGAUGAAUCAACACACGUGACACAGUUUCGCGACCGACGGCUGCGCCUAACGGCGUCGUCGGCGGUCAACAAACGAUCACUCGUUGAUGCGGCGUGUUCCAAGCGAACAUGCUGCUAGUAGAUCGCGCGUGCUUUGCUUGACGGGAGUUGUAGUCAAGCGAGCGAAGGCGUGUGGGGGAUACCUAGGCACACAGAGAAUAGAG
rnacentral:misc_RNA from 1 species